GAACAAAAAUAGCAGAUUAUGUGCUUUAAUGAUGGAAAUACUCAUCUUGCGGUUCAAAUAACAGUGCUUCUCCAACAAAGGUUACCACGCUUUACCAGUUCACCUGUCAAUAAAGCAAUGUCCUGCGCGACACUCUCUUUCCUUCUUUAAAUCCUGGACAUUGCACGACGGCUAACAUUAAGCAAGCCUUCCAUUUUGUGAAUUGUGCACGAGUGUUUCCAGUACUUGCCUGGAGAUAUCCUCUGCAAUGAUUAGCAAGGGAGGCGCUUAAUUGAGUUGCCUUCUCCAGCAACGAAAUCAUUUUCCUUGACAUCUGAAAGCUUCUGAGUAGCUACAAGGACUUUGGCCUUCUCAACCUCCACGAGAGAUCUAACUCAAGUGAAGAAAUAAUAUAAAGGGGAAUCUUUUAUUGAAAGAUGGACGCGCAUUCAAUAAGCUCAGGAUCUGUUGAGUCAUGCAAUGGAAGACUUUAUCCUUCAGAAGGCAGACUGUAAAAAUAUCGAAAGCUUGCAAAAGAGUUCUUUCCACAGUUGAAGGAGACAAUCAUCCAACUCCAUAUUAUCUCAAACCUAAAGCAAAAUUCAGCACCUUCAUUCCUUCCUGAACUAGAACGAAGGUUUCAGAAGAUGAGGACUUCAGAAGAUGAGGACGACCCAUAACGCAAUGCUGAAGAAAUUUCAAUAUGAAAACAAAACCCGCCAGAAUAGUAUUGAUAUUCUUAAAAAUCCUGACAUAUAUUAUUGACAAGAAAAUGCAAAAAUCAUCCAACUCCAUGAGGUGGAAUUCCAGUCCGACUGAGCACUUUUACAAGUGUGAUGGUGGCUGUCCUGCGGAAAGACUAAUAUUCGAGUUCUAGUUUUCAGCAUCCCUUGUCUCUCUUCUUUCUUAAAUUUCUCCCCCUUUCUGGCGAUAUAUGAAGCGAAAUAGGCUUGGAUACAUUUAAGUAUGGGUGUCAGAAAAGGGUCCAACCCAUUUAAACACCCUUGGGUGUGUUAGUGAAAAAAGUCGAUAUGACCUUGAUAUCAAUACAACAUAAUUUGCAUUAGAGAAACACUUGUCAUGCCUCUAGAUUAGCACACCCUAAACAUAACUUGCAGAGAUCUUAGGUAUGGUACUGCAAAACGUUAACACACUCAAGAUUUUAUUUUAUUUUUAAUCGCGAGUUGAAUUUUUUUGUCUAUAAUCAUCCCAUCGCAAUCAAAAACUAACUUCAGUGAGCAUAAUAAUAAGGAGUACUUUGUGAAUUACAUCAAAUCCAUGGUGAAGAGUAAUGACCGAAGCAACAGAGUAGAAAAAUGAAGACGAGACUAACAAUUGAAUCAGGAAAGCAAGACAGGUCAGUCCAGCUUGGAAUGUCAAAAUAAAAAGGUUGGAACAUAUAAGCAUUUGUCCUCCUGACCAAAAGGAGAAGUUCAUAGGCAAAACUCAAGCUAAAAGAGCCCAGCUCUACACAAACGCCUUCAAGAUAACUCUCAACUCCAAUGUUGCACGAAUCUAGACCAGCCAGCUCCCUCAUAACUAGUAAGCAGAAACACACUACCUCUCACUCUGUCCAAACGGCCACUACAUUAAUACCACUUCCAGCUCAACCCCAUAACAAAUAUAAUCAGAUGAACAAAUAACGCCUAGAUUAAAACAACAGAAUCAAGAAUUUCAAAAGAAUUCCACACACCUCUUAGGUAUCAUCGUAACAAAAUCAGAAUCAGCUAAUUUAUCAAUCCCAGAUUGAAGACCCUCUCGGAACCUAUUUCCAACUUUUUACUUAUUUCUCCACAGAUCCAAUACCUACUAUUUCCGUUCAGAUUCUGAACAGUGAACAGCGCCUCACUCUACAAUCUCAAACCAGAGAGAGUAUAAUUUGUAAAAGGCCAUCAAGAAAUUGAGCGAAAGGAAAAAGAGGAACUUGCACUGAAGGAAGCAGGCAACCCAUUCUCACUUCUCAGGGGUUGUGCUCCGCAGUGGGUUGUGUUCCGCCCGCCACUGCUUGUGUCUAUCCAACCGGCUUCACCCAGUAACAGCCGUCUCUCUUAGGCUCCCUUUCUAGCAGUCCUCUCUCGUUUGAGAUACUGGCUCUGCAUUAGAGGAGAUUCCUGUUUUUUUUUCCCACCCAA
rnacentral:lncRNA from 1 species